rnacentral:lncRNA from 1 species
GCUUCUCCCAAUCUGACAGGAAAGAAUUUCAUGAAACUUGGAAAAAGUUUAGAGAUUUACUCCGAAAAUGCCCGCAUCAUCAAAUACCCAAGUGGCAAUUAAUGCAAUGCUUUUAUGACAGGUUGUCUAAACGAAACCGUCAAAUAGUUGAUGCUUCUUGUGGAGGAACUUUCAUGCUUAAAAGUAAACAUGAGGCAUGGCAAUUGUUUGAAAAUCUCAAUAAAAAUUUUCUCCACCAUGCCUCCUCCGCUCGUCAAGCACCCCCGAGUUUCCAAAGAAAAGGGACCAUAUAU